rnacentral:rRNA from 1 species
UGAGUGGCGGACGGGUGAGUAACGCGUGGGCAACCUGGCCUGUACAGGGGGAUAACACUUAGAAAUAGGUGCUAAUACCGCAUAACGGGGGAAGCCGCAUGGCUUUUCCCUGAAAACUCCGGUGGUACAGGAUGGGACCCGCGUCUGAUUAGCCAGUUGGCAGGGUAACGGCCUACCAAAGCGACGAUCAGUAGCCGGCCUGAGAGGGCGGACGGCCACACUGGGACUGAGACACGGCCCAGACUCCUACGGGAGGCAGCAG